UACGUAGGGUGCAAGCGUUGUCCGGAAUUAUUGGGCGUAAAGGGCUCGUAGGCGGUCCAUCGCGUCGGGAGUGAAAAGCUGGGGCUCAACCCCAGUCCUGCUUCCGAUACGGGUGGACUAGAGGUAUGCAGGGGAGAACGGAAUUCCCGGUGUAGUGGUGAAAUGCGUAGAUAUCGGGAGGAACACUCGUAGCGAAGGCGGCCGACUGGACCACACCUGACGCUGAGGCGCGAAGGCCAGGGGAGCGAACGGG
rnacentral:rRNA from 1 species